GGUGCUGCAUGGCUGUCGUCAGCUCGUGUCGUGAGAUGUUGGGUUAAGUCCCGCAACGAGCGCAACCCUUGUCAUUAGUUGCUACGCAAGAGCACUCUAAUGAGACUGCCGGUGACAAACCGGAGGAAGGUGGGGAUGACGUCAAGUCCUCAUGGCCCUUAUGGGUAGGGCUUCACACGUCAUACAAUGGUCGGGACAGAGGGUCGCCAACCCGCGAGGGGGAGCCAAUCUCAGAAACCCGAUCGUAGUCCGGAUCGCAGUCUGCAACUCGACUGCGUGAAGUCGGAAUCGCUAGUAAUCGCGGAUCAGAAUGUCGCGGUGAAUACGUUCCCGGGUCUUGUACACACCGCCCGUCACACCAUGGGAGUGGGUUUCACCAGAAGUAGGUAGCCUAACCGUAAGGAGGGCGCUUACCACGGUGGGAUUCAUGACUGGGGUGAAGUCGUAACAAGGUAACCG
rnacentral:rRNA from 1 species